AAUUAUGUAUCUGUCUAACACAUAUUUGAUAUAGGCUUAUCUCCCAAGUGAAACACCAGAAUUGUUACGAAAAUACAGAGAAAAUGAACUAGUAGCCUUAAGAGGAGAUGGAACUGGAAAGCUUGAAGAAUGGGACAGGGUUUAUGACUAUGCUUAUUCAAUGACUUGGGUGAUCCAGACAAAGGCCAAGAGUAUGCUAGGCCUGUCUUUGGAGGAUCAUCUCAGUAUCCGUAUCCUCGUAGAGGCAGGACAGGACGCGAACCAACCAAGACAGAUCCUAAUACGGAGAGCAGGAUCCCAUUGCUUAUGAGCUUAGAUAUAUAUGUGCCAAGGGACGAGCGAUUUGGACAUGUGAAGAUGUCAGACUUCUUGACAUUUGCUUUGAAAUCCAUUUCUCAGCUCCUCCUCCCCGAGUUUAAGGCUUUAUUUGAUAGCACGCCUAAUGAAUUUGAUAGCUUUGCGGAUGUACUUAAAAUCUAUGAAGGAGGAAUCAAGUUGCCUCAGGGGCCUUUGUUUAAAGCCAUUGUGGAUGCUAUUCCUUUGGAGAUACUAAAACAACUCCUUUCUACUGAUGGUGAAGGCCUACUCAAGUACCCGAUACCUCAGGUUAUCCAAGAGGAUAAAUCUUCCUGGAGGACGGAUGAAGAAUUCGGAAGAGAAAUGCUAGCAGGAGUCAAUCCUGUCGUAAUUAGUAGACUACAAGAAUUCCCUCCAAAAAGCAAGCUGGAUCCUAAAAUAUAUGGCAACCAAACCAGUACAAUUACCAGGGAGCAAGUAGAGGAUAAGUUGGAUUAACAGUUGAUGAGGCAAUCAAGACUAACAGGCUAUUCAUAUUGAACCAUCAUGACAUUCUGAUGCCGUAUGUGAGGAGAAUAAAUACGACAACAAACACAAAAAUGUAUGCCUCGAGAACUCUGCUCUUUCUGCAAGGUGAUGGAACUUUGAAGCCACUAGCAAUCGAACUAAGUUUGCCACAUCCAGACGGAAAUCAAUAUGGUGCUGUUAGCAAAGUUUUUACACCAUCUGAUCAAGGUGUUGAAGGUUCUAUUUGGCAGUUGGCCAAAGCCUUUGCAGCAGUGAAUGAUUCAGGCGUGCAUCAGCUCGUCAGUCACUGGCUAAACACACACGCAGUGAUGGAGCCAUUUGUGAUUGCAACAAAUAGGCGACUAAGUGUACUUCACCCUAUUCAUAAGCUUCUCCUUCCUCAUUUUCGUGAUACGAUGAACAUAAAUGCUUUAGCAAGACAAACCCUAAUCAAUGGUGGCGGACUUCUUGAAUUCACUGUCUUUCCUGCCAAAUAUUCCAUGCAACUGUCAUCAGUAAUUUACAAAGACUGGAUUUUUCCUGAACAAGCACUUCCUGCUGAUGUUAUCAAAAGAGGAGUGGCUGUUGAGGACUCAAACUCCCCACAUGGUGUUCGCUUACUGAUUCAGGACUAUCCAUAUGCUGUUGAUGGGUUGGAAAUUUGGUCAGCAAUCAAAAGUUGGGUAACAGAAUAUUGCAACUACUAUUACAAAUCAGAUGACGCGGUACAGAAAGACGCUGAACUCCAAGCCUGGUGGAAGGAGCUCCGCGAAGAAGGACAUGGCGACAAGAAAGAUGAGCCUUGGUGGCCUAAAAUGCAAAGUGUGCAAGAGCUCAUAGAUUCCUGCACCAUCACUAUAUGGAUAGCUUCAGCACUUCAUGCAGCAGUUAAUUUUGGGCAAUACCCUUAUGCUGGUUAUCUCCCUAAUCGGCCUACAUUAAGCCGGAAAUUCAUGCCAGAGCCAGGAAGUGCUGAAGAGAAAUCCAGAUAAUGUAUUCCUCAGCUAUUUAGUUUUUGGAGGACUGCAGGACAAAAUAUCUUUUUUCCCAACUAUUUUUAAAACUUUAUAAUAUAAAAAACAUAAUAUUAAGAAA